UAAGUGAAGGGAUUGUCAUUUCUACUUCUUCCUCUUCUUAUUAUUAGUAUUAUUUGAAGGGAAGAAAAAAGAAGAAAAAAAGGAUUCUUCUUCUUCAUCUCACGUUAUUCCCUCCCACCCCCUCUAAAACAUUCUCAACACCAACCCCUCUUCCCACGUCGCCAUAUCUCUCUAUCUCUCCACCACCACAUGCUGAUGACCAUUGUGAGUGAACGUCGAUCGACCAAUUGCACCGACACCAGCCCAAUCAGUCGUUGUCAGUUGCAUUGGAUGAAGCAAUCAUGGGUUGCUUGAGUGGUUGAUUUUCCAAGCUGAGAGGAGUUAGCUGAAGGUCGUUGCGCCGUCAUUGGCUUGUCAAAUUUGUUCUUGUUGGGAAAACUUGGUGCUUUUUUAUUUGAAUUCUUGAGAGAUUUUAGCAGUUGUCCAGCCAUUCGGAAGCUCGAAUUUAGGCGUUUUGAUACCACUUGGGUAAUUUUUCUACGGCUACAUAAAUGUGUUUUUGUAGCGUCACCUAAGGUUGUCAAAGGGUUUUGGGGUUGAAAGAGGUCGUGAUCAGAGAUCCGAGAACCUGAGCCUAUGUGACACUACAAGAAAUAAGAUCUUCCUCAACGCAGCUCUAUGUCGGCAAAAACCCCCAAAACACGUCGGGAAAGGUUACUCCGACGUCUCAGUUGACGCCGGGGAAAGCACAUCGAGGAUACUUGUCCUGACGCAGAUCACGUCGACGAUGGGGAUACUUUUUUCGAUGUAGAUCGUGUCAACGAUGAGGAAAUGUUCAUCAACGCACAUUGUCACUACGUCGAAAAAGGGUUUUCACGACGUCAUGUCGCGGAAUCCUUCCCCAAUGUGACAUCACGGAACCCUUCCCCGAUGUCACGUCAAGAAAAGCUUAAACUUUGUUUUCUUUUCUUUUUCUUCUUCUUUCUCUUCUUCUUGCUCUUCUUCUUCUUCUUCAUCUUCUAGCAUGUUACGUUCUGUUUCAAUUGCAUACCUCUAUUAUUCUUGUAGUUUCUUCAUGGAUUUUUGUUUCAACUUUGUGUUUCAGUAUGGAUUCAUAAACACAUUUUGUGAUGCUUUGGAUUCUAACUCAGCUAUGAUAUGGAUGUGGAUGGAAGAUUGUGAUAUGGCUUCGGGCCUAGCUUAACCCAUGGUGGGUGAUACUCUAUGUGCACAUAGGAGCAGAUAUGGUGGUUGUUACUGUGGUAGGUGCUAAGUAUGUGUGUGCUCCAUUUGGCAGUGUGUUUCCUUGUGGAUAUGGAUCACGUGUGAGCUAUUCCGGGCCAUGUAUUUAGUAUGCUAUCAUGGUUGGAUUGGAUGAAGAUUAUUACUAUGGUAGGUGCUAAGUAUGCGUGAUUUCCGUUUGGUCCCGUGUUUCCUUGUGGGUAUGGAUCACGUAUGAGCUAUUCCGGGUCAUGUAUUUAGUAUCUUACCAUAGUCGGGAUUGGAUGGAGGUUGCUAUCGUGGCAGGUACUAAAUAUGUGUAAGCUAGUUUUGGCGCAUGAUUCUUUGAUAAUGUGUGAGCUAUUCUUGACCGUAUAUUUAGGCGUCUUGUCAUGGUUGGAUUGAGUACAAGUUUAUUGAUUUGACUUGUGGUUUGUAGUAUUAUGUAAUGAUGACAUUUUAAUUACUAUUUGAUUAUCGAUACAUUUUUACACAUUGUUUAAGUA